UACGUAGGGUGCAAGCGUUAAUCGGAAUUACUGGGCGUAAAGCGUGCGCAGGCGGCUUCGCAAGUCAGACGUGAAAUCCCCGGGCUUAACCUGGGAAUGGCGUUUGAAACUACGGAGCUGGAGUGUGGCAGAGGGAGGUAGAAUUCCACGUGUAGCGGUGAAAUGCGUAGAUAUGUGGAGGAAUACCGAUGGCGAAGGCAGCCUCCUGGGCCAACACUGACGCUCAUGCACGAAAGCGUGGGGAGCAAACAGG
rnacentral:rRNA from 1 species